AAUGAACGUUGGCGGCGUGCUUAACACAUGCAAGUCGAGCGAGAAAGCUCCUUCGGGAGUGAGUAGAGCGGCGGACUGGUGCGUAACACGUAAGAAUCUGCCCAUUAGUGAAGAAUACCCUUGAGAAAUUGAGGUUAAUACUGCAUAUGUUCCUUCGGGAAGAAAGGUGGCUUUAUGCUGCCGCUAGUGGAUGAGCUUGCGCGCUAUUAGCUUGUUGGUGAGGUAAAGGCUCACCAAGGCUUUGAUGGCUAGCCGGCCUGAGAGGGUGUACGGCCACAUUGGAACUGAGAUACGGUCCAGACUCCUACGGGAGGCAGCAGUGAGGAAUAUUGCGCAAUGGGCGAAAGCCUGACGCAGCAACACCGCGUGGGGGAUGAAGGCUCUCGGGUUGUAAACCCCUUUUCUCGGGGAAGAAAAAUGACGGUACCCGGGGAAUAAGCCUUGGCUAACUACGUG
rnacentral:rRNA from 1 species